rnacentral:rRNA from 1 species
UAACUUGAGAGUUUGAUCCUGGCUCAGAACGAACGCUGGCGGUAUGCUUAACACAUGCAAGUCGAACGAGAAAACCACUUCGGUGGCAAGUAAAGUGGCGCACGGGUGAGUAACGCGUAGAUAAUCUACCCUCUAGUCCGGGACAACUUCUCGAAAGGACAACUUCUCGAAAGGGGAGCUAAUACCAGAUAAUACAUUGAAUCGAGUGUUUCAAUGUUGAAAGGUUUACUGCUAGGGGAUGAGUCUGCGUACCAUUAGCUUGUUGGUAGGGUAAUGGCCUACCAAGGCAACGAUGGUUAGCGGGUCUGAGAGGAUGAUCCGCCACACUGGAACUGAGACACGGUCCAGACUCCUACGGGAGGCAGCAGUGGGGAAUUUUGCGCAAUGGGGGAAACCCUGACGCAGCACCGCCGCGUGCGAGAUGAAGGCUUUUGGGUCGUAAAGAUCUGUCCGUAGGGCCGAAGUCGUUAUGGUUAAUAUCCAUAGGUAUUGACGGUACCUUCAAAGGAAGCACCGGCUAACUCCGUGCCAGCAGCCGCGGUAAUACGGGGGGUGCAAGCGUUAUUCGGAAUUAUUGGGCGUAAAGCGAGUGCAGGCGGUAUUAUAAGUCAGAUGUGAAAGCCCGGGGCUCAACCCCGGAAGUGCAUUUGAAACUGUAAUACUUGAGUAUGGGAGAGGAAAGUGGAAUUCCUGGUGUAGAGGUGAAAUUCGUAGAUAUCAGGAGGAACACCAGUGGCGAAGGCGACUUUCUGGACCAAUACUGACGCUCAGACUCGAAGGCGUGGGGAGCGAACAGGAUUAGAUACCCUGGUAGUCCACGCAGUAAACGUUGACAACUAGGUGUCGCGGGUAUUGACCCCUGCGGUGCCGGAGCUAACGCAUUAAGUUGUCCGCCUGGGGAGUACGAUCGCAAGAUUAAAACUCAAAGGAAUUGACGGGGGCCCGCACAAGCGGUGGAGCAUGGGGUUUAAUUCGACGAAACGCGAAGAACAUUAAAUGGAUUUGACACGAUCGUACAUCAUGGAAACAUGGUAGUCAGUUUGGCUGGAUCGGUGACAGGUGCUGCAUGGCUGUCGUCAGCUCGUGUCGUGAGAUGUUGGGUUAAGUCCCGCAACGAGCGCAACCCCUAUCCUUAGUUGCCAUCAUUUAGUUGGGCACUCUAAGGAGACUGCCGGUGUCAAACCGGAGGAAGGUGGGGAUGACGUCAAGUCCUCAUGGCCCUUAUGUCCAGGGCUACACACGUGCUACAAUGGCCGGUACAAAGGGCAGCAAUACCGCGAGGUGGAGCGAAUCCCAAAAAGCCGGUCUCAGUUCGGAUUGGAGUCUGCAACUCGACUCCAUGAAGUUGGAAUCGCUAGUAAUCGCGUAUCAGCAUGACGCGGUGAAUACGUUCCCGGGCCUUGUACACACCGCCCGUCACACCACGGGAGUCUGUUGUACCGGAAAACAGUGGGCUAACCUGCAAAGGACGCAGCUGUUUAUGGUAUGGCCGGUAACUGGGGUGAAGUCGAAACAAGGUAUCCGUAGGGGAACCUGCGGCUGGAUCACCUCCUUU